rnacentral:tRNA from 1 species
ACCUGGGUGGCUCAGUCAGUUAAGCAUCUGACUUUGGCUCAGGUCAUGAUCUCAUGGUUCGUGGGUUCAAGCCCCACAUCAGGCU